AUUUUUUUGGUUUUCAUCCACACCUCUCUCCUCUCUCCGUAAAUCACUUUUUCUCUGCACUUUCUCCUCUCCCCGUAAAUCACUUUCUCCUCUGCGUCGCCUCCUUCAUUUUCGCCGACCUACCACCUCCAUCCUUCACGCCGCCUUCGCCUUCCUGUCUCCACCCUCAACCGCGCCUCCACCCCCAAACCCCGCUUUCACCACCAGAUUAGGCGAAGGGGGGCGACGACUGCUCGCCGGAUAUGUAGCAGCGACAGCGACAGCAAAGACUGUCUCCUGUUCCUUCUCGCCGCCUUCUCCUCUCCUCCACCGUUCCUCGACUACAAAGGGCGGAUUCGCAGCGGUAGCUAAAGCCAUAGGCGCGGAGAUCGAGAUGAAGGUCGAAAUUUCUGGAUCGGCGAAUUUUUUGGAGAAUUUUUGUCAAAUUUCUGGAUUUUGGGAAACCCGAAACCUCUGGAUCGCCGAAUUUCUAGAAUCUACAUGGUUUACUGAUGUGGUUUUUUGAUGAUAUGAUUUUUAUGAUCUGUUUUGUUUCAUUUCGAAAUGUGUUUACUAGUUCAAUUUCAUUUCUGAGUGUUGGUUUUGGUUUUGUGCGUGUGCUUGCAGCCGGAGGAAUCCUUCAUUUCUCUGCCGCCGGCCGGACGGCGACCGGAGAUGCCUUUAUUUCAGCGACAGUUGUAUUGAAGAACAUUAUUUUGACUUCAUUAAUCCGGAUUUAAUAAUCAUUAAAAAUUACAUUAAACAUGUUGGCUUCUACUUUUUCUCCUUAAUCUAACUCUCCUAAAUACCCGUACCCAAAAGAACUAGGCCAUGAAUACUGGGACGGAGGGAGUACAAAUCAAAGGAGAUCAAGAAGGCAUACUUCCCUCCAAAGAUUUCAAAUAACAUUUGAAGAGGAUAAUCAGAUAAUCAAGUAGAGAUUCGCAACCCGCAACAAAUUCAUCUCAAUAUAUCUAUAUAUUUUGGAUUUGUACACAUUUGGUAUUUCAUUAAAUUGAAUACAUUAAAAUUUAUGUUUACACGUGGUGUCAACGCACAAAAGUUUAAAAAUAAAAUAAAAAAUAGAUCAG
rnacentral:lncRNA from 1 species